UGAAGAGGGGAUUGUGUGGACUUGACCUGAAGCUGUCGUACGGAUUCUUUAAUUUGAGCCACCUCUACACUGAGAUCCUUCAACAAUGCCAUGUCAGACCGGAUUCCUUUUAACUCAUUCAAAAGGCAACAUUGACCUUGUCCAAGAGAAGUUUAUCGCUCACCUCAGUUCUUGUCAGGGACCGCAGGCACCUUCACUUCACUGAUCUCCUGGGCUGAGUAAGAAGAUGAAUGGCACUGGAGGAAGACUGUCAUCACUCGAAGCCGACCCAUACUGCAUCCAUCCCAGUGGUGCCUCCAAAAUGUAGUGCCCUCACCGCCUGAUGAGGGACAAUAAUGUUAUUGAAAACACAGGAAACA